rnacentral:rRNA from 1 species
GAAUGCUGACAUAAGUAACGAUAAAGCGGGUGAAAAGCCCGCUCGCCGGAAGACCAAGGGUUCCUGUCCAACGUUAAUCGGGGCAGGGUGAGUCGACCCCUAAGGCGAGGCCGAAAGGCGUAGUCGAUGGGAAACGGGUUAAUAUUCCCGUACUUGGUGUUACUGCGAAGGGGGGACGGAGAAGGCUAUGUUGGCCGGGCGACGGUUGUCCCGGUUUAAGCGUGUAGGUGUGUGUUCCAGGUAAAUCCGGUUCACUUUAACACUGAGGCGUGAUGACGAGGCACUACGGUGCUGAAGCAACAAAUGCCCUGCUUCCAGGAAAAGCCUCUAAGCAUCAGGUAACAUCAAAUCGUACCCCAAACCGACACAGGUGGUCAGGUAGAGAAUACCAAGGCGCUUGAGAGAACUCGGGUGAAGGAACUAGGCAAAAUGGUGCCGUAACUUCGGGAGAAGGCACGCUGACACGUAGGUGAAGUGAUUUACUCAUG